GCGAGCGAACAUAAGGGUAGGUGGUGGAUGCCUUGACACUGUAUGGCGAUGAAGGACGUAGCGUAACUGCGAUAAGCCUCGGGUAGGUGUGUAGCAACCAAUGAUCCGGGGAUUUCCGAAUGGGGCAACCCUGCCGAGCAAACCUCGGCAACCAGAUACUGUAUAGUAUCUGGAGCGCACCUGGGGAACUGAAACAUCUAAGUACCCAGAGGAAUAGAAACUAAACAAAGUAUUCCCCAAUUAGCGGCGAGUGAAAGGGGAGAAGCCUAAACCUUGUCCCUUGGACAAGGAAAUUCUAAAUUCUAAAUCCUAAAUCCUAAAUAAACACGAAAAUCUCAAAUCUUAAGCUCUAAGCGCGACGCGUUUAGAAUUUUAGAAAUUUGAAUUUUGAAUUUGUUUAGAGUUUAGAGUUUAGAGCUUAGGAUUUCCUCGCCCAGGGGGCGAGGUGUUGCAAGACUGAAACAUUCUCAUUUUCACCUAGGUCUUCGGACCAAGGUGAAAAAGCAGAAGGUUGGUUAUAAAUCGAUGUGUUAGCUGAAGUCGCUGGAAAGCGACCCCAGAGACGGUGAUAGGCCGGUAAGCGAAAAUAUAUCGACCAACUCGUUUUUGUUCUUAAGUACCUCAAGGCAAGAUAACCUUGAGGGAAUCCGGGAGUACUAUCUCCUAAGGCUAAAUACAUGCAGUGAUCGAUAGUGAACUAGUACCGUGAGGGAAAGGUGAAAAGUAGCCCAGUAAGGGCGAUGAAAUAAUACCUGAAACCACCUACUUACAAGCACACGGAGCUUUACCGUGCUUUGCACGGAAACUCGAAGCACGAAUAUCGAAAUUCGAAACAAAUUCGAAUGUUCAAAAUUCAAAUAACCGAAACACAGCGUUUUGAAUUUUUGUCAUUUGGAUUUUGUUCGCCAGCUGGCGAAUUGUUUCGAAUUUCGGAUUUAGAAUUUCGAAUUUCCGCGCAGAGCGCGGCGAGUGACGUGGUGCCUAUUGAAGAAUGAGCCAGCGAGUUUAUAUUAACCGCUUGUCUAAGUCCGCUCGUCGGACGGAGGCACAGGGAAACCAAGUCUUAAUAGGGCGAAAUAAUAGCGGUUGGUGUUAGACCCGAAACCAGGCGAGCUUACCUUGGUCAGGGUGAAGUCCGAGUAAAAUCGGAUGGAGGCCCGAACCGGUUGAUUGUGCAAAAUCUUCGGAUGAACUGAGGUAAGGAGUGAAAAGCUAAUCGAGCUUGGUAAUAGCUGGUUCUCUCCGAAAUAGUUUUUGGACUAGCGUUUCGUUAUAGCUUCUUGCAGGUAGAGCAACUGGUUGAAGUGGAUUGGGCGCAAGCUCGCCUCUUCAGUCAAACUCCAAAUGGCAGGAAGUGUUCCGAAGCAGUUAGACUACGGGGGCUAAGCUCCGUGGUCGAAAGGGAAACAGCCCAGACCGUCAUCUAAGGUCCCUAAGUUCUUACUAAGUGUGAAAGGUAGUCUUUAUCCUAAAACAGAUAGAAGGUUGGCUUAGAGGUAGCCAUCCUUUAAAGAGUGUGUAACAACCCACUAUUCGAGGAUAUUGGCGCCGAAAAUUUACCGGGGCUCAAGUAAGACACCGAAGAUACGGAUACCGUGCUUUGCACGGAAAUCCUAAAUCCAAAAUCCUAAACUCUAAACUGACUGCGAAGCAGUCAUCCUGAGGGCGAAGCCCGAAGGAACUCAAGGGGUUCCUUCAUCCGCCAGUCGGCGGAUUCAGGACGACCUUCGGUCGGUUUAGAAUUUAGAGAUUAGAGUUUAGAGUUUCCGCGCAGAGCGCGGUGUGGUAGGAGAGCAUUCCUAUUGCAGUGAAGGUCGACCCGUGAGGGCGACUGGAGCGAUGGGAAGAGAGAAUGCUGGCAUGAGUAAUCGCAAAAUCGGUGAAAAACCGGUUCCCCGUAAAUCUAAGGUUUCCUCCGCAACGGAAAUCGACGGAGGGUUAGGCGGUCCUAAGGCGAUGGCGAAAGCCGCGGCCGAUGGACAACUGGUCAAUAUUCCAGUCCCUCCAUAUUCUUUGUCCGAUGGGGUGACGGAACGCAAUAGGUUUGGCAUCUUAAUGGUUUGGUGUCCUUUAUCGAGGGUGGGGCGUUGGCAAAUCCGCGUCCCUGCGUUUAAUCGCGAACCCCAGAGAAAAGGCAAGUGGAAGGUUUUCCUUCCGCGAGUGAACCGAGCGCGUUUCCAGGAAAAACCUCUAAGGCCGAAUAUGGAGUCCGUACCGUAAACCGACACAGGUGGAUGAGGCGAGAAGCCUCAGGGGAACGAGUGAGUCCUCGUUAAGGAACUCGGCAAAAAAGCGACCGUAACUUAGGGAUAAGGUCUCCCUGACCGUGCCUCACUGCGUUCGGCACGGAAAUCCUAAAUCCAAAAUCCUAAACUCUAAACAAACUCAAAUAUCAAAAUCCGAAAUUCAAAACAUUUGGAAUUUGGAACAUUUGAAUUUUGAAUUUGUUUAGGAUUUAGAGAUUAGAGUUUAGAGUUUCCGCCCGAGCAUAGCGAGGUGCGGUUAGGGUGCAACAAAAGUCUCUCUGGCGACUGUUUAACAAAAACACAGCUCCCUGCGAACUCGUAAGAGGAUGUAUAGGGGGUGACGCCUGACCGAUGCGAGAAGGUUAACGGUGGGGGUUGCGCCGCAAGGCGCAGCUCACUGCCCGAAGCCCUCGUCAAUGUCCGCGGUAACUAUAACCGUGUUAAAGUAGCGCAUUUCCUUUCCGGGUAAGUUCCGGAGCGCACGAAAGGCGUAACGACUGGAGAACUGUCUCAACGAGGAGCUCGAUGAAAAUGCGAUUCCCGUGAAGACGCGGGAUACCGGCAGCAAGACGAAAAGACCCCGGAAGCUUUACUGUAGCUUGAUAUUGGCACUAAUGUGUGCAUGCGUAGCAUAGUGGGGAGGCUUUGAAACUCUACUUCCGGGUAGAGCGGAGCCAACAGUGAAAUACCCAUCUUGUAUGUGUUAGUGUCUAACCUGUCCCGCAAAACGGGAUGGAGACAGUGUCUGGUGGGCAGUUUAUCUGGGGCGGAUUCCUCAUAAAGAGUAACUGAGGAGUCUAUUAAGGUCGGCUUAGCCCGGAUGGAAAUCGGGCUGGACGUGUAAAGGCACAAGCCGGCUUAACUGCAAGACCUACAAGUCGAGCAGGUGCGAAAGCAGAGCUUAGCGACCCGACGAAUCUACAUAGGAAGGUCGGAGACAACGGCUAAAAGCUACUCCGGGGAUAACAGGCUGGUCUGGUCCGAGAGUCCAUAUCGACGACCAGGCUCGGCACCUCGAUGUCGGCUCACCACAUCCCGGGGGUGGAGAAGCUCCCAAGGGUUUGGCUGUUCGCCAAUUAAAGUGGUACGCGAGCUGGGUUCAGACCGUUUAGCAAUGAAUGGUCUUAUACUCAAGAGAAAAAAAUAAUAUAGAAAAAUAGAAAAUAUGUGUGAUCAUUGACUGUUAAACAGUCUGAAUCACUACAAUUGAGGGUAUUUUCGUCUUUGCAAAAGUAUAGAUAGGUCAAUCAACCACGGCGGUCUAUUACAGUAAUGUAAUAUGAAGAAGUCGAUUUAUAUCGGCAAAACCCAUUCAAUUGGGCAAUGUCGAGGGAACCCCGCUUCGGCGGGGACCCGUAGAGACUAAACAUCGACCUUCCUUGCAAAAAGGAAGAAGCCAUAGUCCAAUGCAACGAGUAAUCGUUGAUACCAUGCGUGAGACAGGUUGGUCUCUAUCUGCUGUCGGCGUGGAUGCCUGAAGGAAGCUGACCCUAGUACGAGAGGACCGGGUUGGACGAACCUCUGGUCUACCAGCUUUGGUACCAACUGAAUUGCUGGGUAGCUAAGUUCGGAAGGGAUAAGCGCUGAAAGCAUCUAAGCGCGAAGCCCAACCUAAGAUUAGGCAUCAGUCCGCUUCGGCGGACGAGGAUUCCUGGAAGACUACCAGGUUGAUAGGCUCUAGAUGAAAGUCCGGUAACGGAUUCAGUCGAGGAGUACUAAUAAUCCUAUUUUGCUCUUAU
rnacentral:rRNA from 1 species